rnacentral:tRNA from 1 species
CGGCGACCUCGAUGAGGGUGUCGCGCAGCGCCUCGGACGCUGCCUGCGUCAGCCCGGGGAUCUGCACGCCGGUCGUCGC